rnacentral:tRNA from 1 species
ACCUGGAUGGCGGAAUUGGUAGACGCUUUGGAUUCAAAAUCCAAUGGUAGAAAUGCUGUGUGAGUUCGACUCUCACUUCAGGUA